rnacentral:rRNA from 1 species
UGCGUAGGUGGUAUGGCAAGUCAGAAGUGAAAACCCAGGGCUUAACUCUGGGACUGCUUUUGAAACUGUCAGACUGGAGUGCAGGAGAGGUAAGCGGAAUUCCUAGUGUAGCGGUGAAAUGCGUAGAUAUUAGGAGGAACAUCAGUGGCGAAGGCGGGCUUCCUGGACUGAAACUGACACUGAGGCACGAAAGCGUGGGGGAGCAAACA